UAUAUAUAUAUAUAUAUAUAGGCCUACUGUUUAUAUUUUAAAAAUGCAUAGAACAUAAAGCUUAAAAAUUGAUCUUCAUGUUACAUGUAUAAAUAGGCCUGUGUACAUAUGUAAAAAUAUAUUUAAAAAAUAUAACCUAUUCAUGAAUCAUGUUAUGUAUAGUUUUUAACAAGAGACAAUAUUGUGAAACAACGAAUGUGAAAUGACUAUGAGUGUACACAAAGCAACACACACACGCACACACACACACACACACUGAUGCCUGGACGCUACUGUAUAUGCACACAAUCACAUAUUUAUCAAAACCAGCAAGUACACACAUAAUUCACCCACUCGACCAACAAAAAGAAUCAAAAUGUUUUUUGAGACUCCAUCCUAUCUUACAUUUUUUUCAUUCUGAUUGUCAUUGCUCAUUGUUUCAGUAUGUGUUCAAAAUCUUCAACGCUAGUUCACAUACUGUGUUUGAACUCUAUCUCAUAAUACUGUAUGGUUACAUUUUUUUUGUUGUUGUUCCUUCCGUCUUGUGCUCAAUGUAGUGGACAUGAAAAAAAUCUAAUAUAUUGUACAAUAAAAAUACUCCAAGCACGUUUUCAAAAAAUAUAAAGAAGUUCUUUUAAAGUUUCACUUUCUCAUUUUGCACGAAUGGGUCGAUAGAACUACAAAAUGCAUUUUAAAUUCAUGAUUUAAUAAUUAUUUAAUUAUUUUAAAUGAUGUAUUGUUUUAAUUAUAGAUGUAUUUAUUUACAUAAUGUUAUAAUUCUACAUGUUUAUGUUUGUAAAUGCUGCGUGACUGUGGCGUGUUUUAAUGCGCGUGCGCGUUGAACGUUCGAAUCGCUUUCAAACGCUGGAGCGGAUCUGAGUUGCCAUGGAAACGGGGAACCGUCAGGCAGCAAGACUCUCUCGCUGUUGUUUUCACUGAUUUUAGGGUCGACAGAAAACCCCCUCUACAACAAAGGGGAAGCUGACAGAGGAGGAGGAAACACAGAUCCUUCCAUGCAGAUGGCCUCCUGCACCCCAGCAGAGCUGAGUGACCUCCUGUCAAAGGCCAUGAACCAGAUGACUAUAGUAAGCAAAACCUCAAUCAUUCAGUACACUACUUUUGAAAAGUUGUGGGUCUGUAAGGUUUUUACCUGUUUUUGAAAGAAGUCUCACAUUCCUUGAAAGGCCUGUAGGCUAAAUAAUCAGCUAAAUGAGGUAACAUAGGUGACAAGUAUAAUGUUAUUAUGCUUGUAGUUAUAAUCAUUUAUUUAACUAUUAUGAUAACAGGAUAUCAUGGUCGUUAAUUUAUUUUAUUUUAUUUCUCUAGGUCUGUUUUGAGUUGUGUUUUCAAGUGAAGAGACGCCAUACUGUUCCACUCAAAGGUAUUUAUUUAUUUGUAUACGUGCAUGUAUUUUUUACUGAUAUAUUCUUAAAUACUUUUUACUUAUAAAUGCUGAUUGUGGUUCAGGGGGUCGACAACUUUAGGCAUGUAAGUUAUUUUUCUCAGAAAUUUGGCCAGCUUACUCAUUGCUCAUACUCUAUGCCUCUAAUAUGUUUGAAUUUAUAUCAUCAAUGCAAUAUCAGGGGGUAAAGAUAUCAUUAGAGUUCUUACAGUUAUGGCUGUACUCUUGUUACCAGAUGAGAUGUAAUCUCUAGCGUUUGGAGCUGUGAUUCUUCAGGACAAGAUGCCAUUCACACUUGAUACAUGAAGAUGCAGAUCACUGACAGGCUUUCCUGUGUAAUACUGAUUCAAGUUUUCCACCAUUGUAUUUAUCCAAAUGAGGAUCUCAGGGAUCCCCAGUUGAAGGCACCAGGACAUCAGAUGUUGGCCUGGAGUGGACAAAUGUACCAACAGUACACCACAAAGACCUCUGCUUUUAAAUGGAUGGCUGAUUACUACCAUGCUCUGUGAGGGUAUUACUAUAGCAAAACUGAGCACCUGUGAUAGUGGGAUUUCUAAUUUUAAAGAAUAGUCAAACAUCAGUAAAUUAUUAUUUAUUUUUUUUAUUAAAAAAUUUGAAAGAAUUUUUAAAAGUUGCAAACUUUUUUUCUCCAGUUACAAAAACAGCUGUUACACCUUUUCAAAUUCUUCAUUGGAGGUGCACAAAUCCUAUUUCACAAAUUAAGAAAUUCAUAUGCUCACAUUUAAGCCGUGUUCUUCGGACACUGUAACAGUCCUGAUAUGUCACACUUUGCAGCAUCUUUUUUAAUCACAUGAAUUCAAAUUUUAACAAACAGUAAUAUAUUCAAAAUGUAAAGAUAUACAAUCUGACAAUCUGAUCUUGUCAUUAUUAAUCAAUCAGUAAUCAACACCGCACCACCCUGAAAUUACAUGCACUGUAGAAGUAUGGUUUUGGCAAGAAAUGAACAGUAGCUAAAUAUUUAUUAUAAAUGCUACUAUUUGACAUUCAAUAUUUUAGUCUA